rnacentral:pre_miRNA from 1 species
GGAAGUUAAGAAACUGUUUCUUAAUUUUUAACUAAAAAAGCUAAGAACUGGUUCUUAAAUAAGGACUUUAAGAACCGGUUCUUAAUUUUUUUAGUUAAAAGUUAAGAAACAUUUUUUUAAUUUUC